rnacentral:rRNA from 1 species
UGCAAGUCGAGGGGCAUCACGAGGUAGCAAUACUUUGGUGGCGACCGGCGCACGGGUGCGUAACGCGUAUGUAACCUACCUAUAACAGGGGCAUAACACUGAGAAAUUGGUACUAAUUCCCCAUAAUAUUCGGAGAGGCAUCUCUCCGGGUUGAAAACUCCGGUGGUUAUAGAUGGACAUGCGUUGUAUUAGCUAGUUGGUGAGGUAACGGCUCACCAAGGCAACGAUACAUAGGGGGACUGAGAGGUUAACCCCCCACACUGGUACUGAGACACGGACCAGACUCCUACGGGAGGCAGCAGUGAGGAAUAUUGGUCAAUGGACGCAAGUCUGAACCAGCCAUGCCGCGUGCAGGAAGACGGCUCUAUGAGUUGUAAACUGCUUUUGUACGAGGGUAAACUCACCUACGUGUAGGUGACUGAAAGUAUCGUACGAAUAAGGAUCGGCUAACUCCGUGCCAGCAGCCGCGGUAAUACGGAGGAUUCAAGCGUUAUCCGGAUUUAUUGGGUUUAAAGGGUGCGUAGGCGGUUUGAUAAGUUAGAGGUGAAAUCCCGGGGCUUAACUCCGGAACUGCCUCUAAUACUGUUAGACUAGAGAGUAGUUGCGGUAGGCGGAAUGUAUGGUGUAGCGGUGAAAUGCUUAGAGAUCAUACAGAACACCGAUUGCGAAGGCAGCUUACCAAACUAUAUCUGACGUUGAGGCACGAAAGCGUGGGG